UACGUAGGGUGCGAGCGUUAAUCGGAAUUACUGGGCGUAAAGCGUGCGCAGGCGGUUCGCCAAGUCAGGUGUGAAAUCCCCGGGCUCAACCUGGGAAUGGCGAUGGUGACUGCAAGGCUAGAGUUUGGCAGAGGGGGGUAGAAUUCCACGUGUAGCAGUGAAAUGCGUAGAUAUGUGGAGGAACACCGAUGGCGAAGGCAGCCCCCUGGGUCAAAACUGACGCUCAUGCACGAAAGCGUGGGGAGCAAACAGG
rnacentral:rRNA from 1 species